ACUGGUUGUUGGAUUCUCUUGCGUGGAUUUUUCAAAUAUGAACCUCUACCGCAAAACUCUGGACGAAAUGGGGGAAUCAGGCCAUACAUUUUAUGGCGUGUUGCGAUACACUCAACGUUGUAGGCCACCCUUAAUGAUCCUAGAGAACGUCUGCGGAGCCCCGUGGGGCCAUAUCAAGGAUGCUUUCAAGGAAAUUGAUUACCACGCCUAUCACAUUAAAGUAGACACAAAAAACUACUACCUGCCACAAACUCGUGAGAGAGGAUAUAUGCUCUGCAUAGACCAAACCAGACUUGAAACUCUACCUCCUGCAGACUCUAAAUCAUCCGCAUUUGCGAAGAUGAUGAAAAACUUUGAACGCCCUGCGAGUUCCCCCGUCACGCAAUUCUUACUUAAAAACGAUGACCCUCGUUUGCUGGACGCCAUCGAUGAUAUAUCCUGCAACACAACCAAGGACCGCCAGGCCGUUGAUUGGACUCGGUACAAAGCACGUCACCUUCGGUAUAGAAUGAGGGAAGGACUUGGGGAUAAAAGACCUCUUACUCGUUGGCAGGACAACGGUAGCUGUCAAAUGCCUGACUUCUAUUGGCGCAGAUGGAGCAAAGUGCAGACCGAACGUGUUUGGGAUACGCUUGACGUAAAUUACCUGCGGAGCAUAAUCAGAGGUUUUGAUAUCAACUUCAAAUCCCGGAUCAUCGACCUUUCUCAGGGGCUUGACAGGGAGCUGGACCAGCGUGCAUCCGGGGUUUCUGGUUGUUUGACUCCACGGGGUCAACACUUUGUCACUUCGCGGGGUGGCCCUCUCUUAGGUAUCGAGGCGUUGGCUCUGCAGGGGAUUCCUAUCGAUAGGUUACUGUUAGGCAAUGACAGUCAACGAGAUCUCAACGAUCUUGCAGGCAACGCGAUGAGCUCAACUGUUGUAGGGGUGGCGAUUAUGAGUGCUUUGAUUGUAGGAUACCAGGCUCUUGCGCCUGGCAAAACUGGCGGAAGUAACUCCAAAAACGAAGAACACUUUAUAACUCAGAUGCAAGUUGCUGACAAUGACACUGUGGAGCUGGUCCCCGUUCAUUCGGGGGACGAAAUUGUGCUAUCUACACACGAGGUUUUCGAAAUCGGAAAGCGAAGUUCGAGAAUGUGUAUUUGUGAAGGCCAAGCAUUGACGAAAAGAACCGACAUGUUGAUAUGCUUGAAAUGCGGGUUUACUGCAUGCAAAUCAUGUGGACGCAAUCCUCCACAUGUAUAUUGUCCAAUUCCCAAGGAUGAAUUGAAUGCGCGGGUGUCCCCAAUAAAUUUCGAGACCCAAUUGAAGCAAAAGCUACCGAUGAGACUUCAAGUUAACGGACUAUCCCUUGCGUUAUACCGAGAACUAAAGCAAGACGAUCUGCCGGUUGACGUUUCAUCGACGUGGGAUGAUUUUUUCAAAGUCCUUCUUCCAGCAC
rnacentral:sRNA from 1 species